rnacentral:rRNA from 1 species
AUCCCAUUGGCCAUGGCUAAUCACACGUCGUUGAUCGAUCCUCUGGAAGAACAGGACCAAUUCAUAUAUACAGCUAUGACCCGGCCCACCCGUGUAGGCAGUGGAACAGUGCUAUAGCUUCUAGAGCUGCGACGACCUCCUGUGACCUCUAGCUUGCUUGCCGCCUUGCCUCCUCCUGUAACUUCUCGCCGAUCGAUCGAUCGACGAGCUAGCUACCUCUGCGUCGUGGUUGGGAGAGACACCGAUGAGGUUGCUGAAGGAGGGGAGCCUGAAGCUGUGCAGCCACCACGUGGUGCCGUUCCUCGUCGGGGGAAUUCUGCCCACGGUCCUCCUCUUCGUCUUGGCCUCCGACCGGGUGGGCGAGCAGCUGUCCGGUGUCUCCGGCAGCUGGCUGGGAAACAGCAACGGUGGAUCUUCCGGGGCGGCGCCUGCACCGCUGGAACAUGCGUUAUUUUUGUCAAACUUUACGAUGUUUGACUUAAGACCAAUUCAUAUAUAUAUAUACACCCGAGUAGGCAGUGGAACAGUAUUGGUAGCUUCUUGAGCUGCGACGGCCUGCUGUAACCUCUAGCUUGCUUGCCGUCUUGCCUCCUCCUGUAACUUCUUGCCGAUCGAUCGAUCGAUCGACGAGCUAGCUACCUCUGCGUCAAGGCUCAGAGAGAGAUCGAUGGGGCCGGUGAAGGAGGGGAGCUUGAAGAAGCUGUGCAGCCAGCACGUGGUGUCGUUCUUCCUCGGGGCACCUCUGCCCAUGGUCGUCCUCUUCGUCUUGGCCUCCGACCGGGUGGGCGAGCAGCUGUCCGGCAUCUCCGGCAGCUGGCUGGGGAACAGCAACGGCGGAACUCCCGGGGCGGCGCCUGCACCGCUGGAACAUGCGGUGGAGAGAUUCCCGGGGCUCGCGGAGCUGCUGCCCAAGGUGUGCACGGAGGACCGGACGGUGAUCAUCACGUCGGUGAACGAGGCGUGGGCGCGGCCGGGCUCCCUCCUCGACCUCUACCUCGAGAGCUUCAACAACGGCGAGGACACCGCGCACCUCCUUGACCACCUCCUCGUCGUCGCCCUCGACCCCGCCGGCUUCCGCCGCUGCGUCGCCGUGCACCCGCACUGCUACCUCCUCGAGGUGACCACCGUGAACCUCACCUCCGCCGCCCGGUUCAUGUCCAGGCAGUACCUCGAACUGGUCUGGACCAAGCUCGAGCUCCAGCAGCGCGUCCUCGAGCUCGGCUACAACUUCCUCUUCACCGACACCGACAUGCUCGUGCUCCGGAACCCGUUCCGGCGGAUCCCGGUGUACGCGGACAUGAGCGUGUCCUCCGACGACUACUCGGCGGCGCGGGCGCACCCGCUGGACAACCCGCUCAACACGGGGCUCUACUACGUGAAGGCGACGAGCCGGGGCGUGCGCGUGCUCAAGUACUGGCGGGCGGCGCGGGCGAGGUUCCCCGGCGCACACGACCAGUCGGUGUUCCACAACAUCAAGCGCGAGCUCGUCCAGAAGCUGGGGGUCGCCAUCGAGCCCCUGGACACGGUCUACUUCGGCGGGUUCUGCGAGUACCACGACGACCUCGCCAGCGCCUGCACCAUGCACGCCGACUGCUGCGUCGGCGUGGACAACAAGGUGCACGACCUCAAGGACGUCGCCGCCGACUGGAAGAGGUACACGCGCAUGGCGCCGGAGGAGAGGAAGAAGGCGGGCGGGAAUGUGACAUGGACGGUGCCCGCGCGGUGCCGGAGGUCCGUGAACUGGAGUAAGCCCGUGCACCCCUGA